UGAGGAACAUGACCUUCGGCGGGGGAUAGCCGGCCCAACGGCCGGGUAAUACCGCGUACGACCACAUGGGGACAUCCCCGAGUGGUGAAAGCAGCAAUGCGCCGAUGGAGUGCCUCGCGGCCUAUCAGCUAGUUGGUGAGGUAACGGCUCACCAAGGCGACGACGGGUAGCUGGUCUGAGAGGAUGGCCAGCCACAGUUGGGACUGAGACACGGCCCAGACUCCGUAGGGACGG
rnacentral:rRNA from 1 species